GUCGGUGUAGGGGUGAAAUCCGUUGAUAUCGAUAAGAACACCAAGGGCGAAGGCGGGUAACUAGGCAUUUCUUGACGCUGAGGAACGAAAGCUAGGGAGCAAAAGCGAUUAGAGACCGCUGUAGUCCUAGCCGUAAACGAUGCUCGCUAGGGAUGGGGAAUUUAUUUUCCGUCUCGUAAGCUAACGCGUUAAGCGAGCCGCCUGGGGAGUACGGUCGCAAGACUAAAACUCAAAGGAAUUGACGGGGACCUGCACAACCAGUGGAGCAUGUGGUUUAAUUCGAGACGAACCGAAGAACCUUACCUGGAUUUGACAUACUAGUUGCACAUCUCUAGAGAUAGAGACUCUUUCGAAGGUACUAGAACAGGUGCUGCAUGGCUGUCGUCAGCUCGUGUCGUGAGGUGUUCCCUUCAGUGGGGUAACGAGCGCAACCCCCGCCGUAUGUUGAAUAUUCAUACGGGACUGCCCGAGUCAUUCUCGGGAGGAAGGCGGGGACGACGUCAAGUCAGCAUGGCCCUUAUAUCCAGGGCUACACACAUGCUACAAUGGAGCCGACAAUGGGUCGCCAAGUGGUAACACGGAGCUAAUCCCAUCAAACGGCUUCUCAGUGGGGAUUGAGGGCUGCAAUUCGCCCUCAUGAACGUGGAAUUGGUAGUAAUCGCGGAUCAGCUAUGCCGCGGUGAAUACGUUCUCAGGUCUUGUACACACCGCCCGUCAAGUUAGUGAAGUUGGAAGCACCCGAACCUCGAUUGUAUCGGGGGAAGGUGAGACCAGCGACAAGAAUUAAGUCGUAACAAGGUAUCCGUUCUGGAAGGAGCGGAUG
rnacentral:rRNA from 1 species